AAGGAUUUAAGUUAAAAAUAAACUAGUAACCUUCAAAGUUGCCAAUAAAGGAUAUUAAGCCUUA
rnacentral:tRNA from 2 species